rnacentral:sRNA from 1 species
GCCAGGUGUGGGGGUGCAUGCCUGUAAUCCCAGCCACCUGGGAGACUGAGGCAGGAGGAUCACAAGUAUGAGGCCAGCCUCAGUGAGACCCUGCCUCAA